rnacentral:rRNA from 1 species
AUACACGCUGGCGGCGUGCAUGAGCCCUGCCAGUCGCACGAAGGAUCGGGCUUGCUCGAUCCUUAGUGGCGGACGGCUGAGUAACGCGUAGGUGACCUACCCCGCAGUGGGGAAUAACUGCCCGAAGGGGUGGCUAAUACCGCAUGUGGUCGCACGUUCAUUCGUGCGAGUAACGCCGCAAGGCGCUUCGGGAGGGGCCUGCGUCCGAUUAGCUCGUUGGUGGGGUAAUGGCUUACCAAGGCGACGAUCGGUAGGUGGUCUGAGAGGACGAUCACCCAGACUGGGACUGAGACACGGCCCAGACUCCUACGGGAGGCAGCAGUCGGGAAUUUUGCUCAAUGGGGGAAACCCUGAAGCAGCAACGCCGCGUGAGGGAUGAAGGCCUUCGGGUUGUAAACCUCUUUUGUCAGGGACGAUGAUGACGGUACCUGGCGAAUAAGCCACGGCUAACUACGUG